GACGAACGCUGGCGGCGUGCUUAACACAUGCAAGUCGAACGGAAAGGCCCCUUUGGGGGUACUCGAGUGGCGAACGGGUGAGUAACACGUGAGUAACCUGCCCUUGACUUCGGGAUAACUUCAGGAAACUGGGGCUAAUACCGGAUAGGAAUCCUUGCUGCAUGGUGGGGGUUGGAAAGCUUCGGCGGUUUUGGAUGGACUCGCGGCUUAUCAGCUUGUUGGUGGGGUAGUGGCUUACCAAGGCUUUGACGGGUAGCCGGCCUGAGAGGGCGACCGGCCACAUUGGGACUGAGAGACGGCCCAGACGCCUACGGGAGGCAGCAGUGGGGAAUAUUGCACAAUGGGCGGAAGCCUGAUGCAGCAACGCCGCGGGCGGGAUGACGGCCUUCGGGUUGUAAACCGCUUUCAGCAGGGGCGAAGCUUGUGGUGACGGUACCUGCAGAAGAAGCACCGGCUAACUACGUG
rnacentral:rRNA from 1 species